UACCAGCACCCCGAGUGGUCGUGACGAUUAUUGUGCCUAAAGCAUCCGUAGCCGGUUCUACAAGUCUUCCGUUAAAUCCACCUGCUUAACAGAUGGGCUGCGGAGGAUACUAUAGAGCUAGGAGGCGGGAGAGGCAAGCGGUACUUAGUGGGUAGGGGUAAAAUCCGUUGAUCCAUUGAAGACCACCAGUGGCGAAGGCGGCUUGCCAGAACGCACUCGACGGUGAGGGAUGAAAGCUGGGGGAGCAAACCGG
rnacentral:rRNA from 1 species